AAAACUUUCAACAACGGAUCUCUUGGUUCCGGCAUCGAUGAAGAACGCAGCGAAAUGCGAUAAGUAAUGUGAAUUGCAGAAUUCAGUGAAUCAUCGAAUUUUUGAACGCAUAUUGCGCCCCUUGGAAUUCCGACGGGCAUACCUGUUCGAGCGUCAUUG
rnacentral:rRNA from 1 species